GUUAGAAGCCAUAUCACCCUGCAGCUCUCAACUGACUACCCACUGAAAAUAAACAGGGUUGAGCCUGGUCAGUACCUGGAUGUGAGACCUCCUGGGAAGCUAUGGUUGCUGCUGGGA
rnacentral:rRNA from 1 species